AACGCUAGCUACAGGCUUAACACAUGCAAGUCGAGGGGCAGCAUGAUUGAAGCUUGCUUCAAUCGAUGGCGACCGGCGCACGGGUGAGUAACACGUAUCCAACCUGCCGAUAACUCGGGGAUAGCCUUUCGAAAGAAAGAUUAAUACCCGAUAGUAUAGUAUUUCCGCAUGGUUUCACUAUUAAAGAAUUUCGGUUAUCGAUGGGGAUGCGUUCCAUUAGAUAGUUGGCGGGGUAACGGCCCACCAAGUCAACGAUGGAUAGGGGUUCUGAGAGGAAGGUCCCCCACAUUGGAACUGAGACACGGUCCAAACUCCUACGGGAGGCAGCAGUGAGGAAUAUUGGUCAAUGGACGAGAGUCUGAACCAGCCAAGUAGCGUGAAGGAUGACUGCCCUAUGGGUUGUAAACUUCUUUUAUACGGGAAUAAAGUGGAGUAUGCAUACUCCUUUGUAUGUACCGUAUGAAUAAGGAUCGGCUAACUCCGUGCCAGCAGCCGCGGUAAUACGGAGGAUCCGAGCGUUAUCCGGAUUUGUUGGGUUUAAAGGGAGCGUAGGUGGAUUGUUAAGUCAGUUGUGAAAGUUUGCGGCUCAACCGUAAAAUUGCAGUUGAAACUGGCAGUCUUGAGUACAGUAGAGGUGGGCGGAAUUCGUGGUGUAGCGGUGAAAUGCUUAGAUAUCACGAAGAACUCCGAUUG
rnacentral:rRNA from 1 species